rnacentral:sRNA from 1 species
UUCCCAACACAUCGAGACGGGAGGACACCACCAUGUAUCUGGAUGACGCCGUAAUCUUCGGGCUGGUUACCGUCGCGAUGAUGGUCGCUUUCAUGGGUGGCUGGGUAGCAUUCAUCGUUCGCGAUCACCAUCGCAAGAACAAGCACUGAUCCAGUCGCUUCAAGAGUCGUCAGGGGAGGGGGGAGCUGUCCCCCCAGUAGCCGACCCGUCAGGGUCGGCUUUUUUUU